GGGGGUACCGGUACAGAGUCAAUGUGGAGACUAUAUACAGGGGGUACCGGUACAGAGUCAAUGUGGAGGCUAUAUACAGGGGGUACCAGUACAGAGUCAAUGUGGAGGCUAUAUACAGGGGGUACCAGUACAGAGUCAAUGUGGAGGCUAUAUACAGGGGGGUACCAGUACAGAGUCAAUGUGGAGGCUAUAUACAGGGGGUACCAGUACAGAGUCAAUGUGGAGGCUAUAUACAGGGGGGUACCAGUACAGAGUCAAUGUGGAGGCUAUAUACAGGUGGGUACCGGUACAGAGUCAAUGUGGAGGCUA
rnacentral:lncRNA from 1 species